rnacentral:rRNA from 1 species
UACGGCAGGAUUUUGAUUCUAUACGAUGCAAAAUUGUGCAGUUCCUGACAAAUGAAAGCAUCCCAGGCAAGAUACCUUCUCAUACGAUGAGUAGUGGGAGGGGGUGCAAGACUGUUACUAGUGGCGAGGUAGGAGUAUUGUUUCCUCCUCCCCCUCCCGUCUCGCCCUUUCAUUUUACUGGAUUUUUCAACAUACGAAAAUAUAUUCUAAGAGGGGUCUAUAUGCUUUAAGUAUAUGGAAGUUUGAGGCAAUAACAGGUACGUGAUGCCAUUAUAUGUCCUGGGCUGCACGCGUGCUACACUGUUAUAUACAUCAAGUGCCUAGCUAGAUAUAGUAAGGCAAUCUAGAAUAUAUAUCGUGAUGGGGAUAGAUCUCUGCAAUUAUAGAUCAUGAACGAGGAAUUCUUAGUAAGUGCAAGUCAUCAUCAUACAUUGAUUAUGUCCCUCACCGUAGUACACACCUCCCGUCGCUCCUACCGAUACCGGGUGAUCAAGAGAAAAUGUUGGACCCUUCUGCGAAAAAUAAGUAAAUCAUAUCACCAGAGGAACGAGAAGUCGAAACAAGCCUCCUCCCUUCCCCAGAAGGACAAAACGGCCCCCGGUCCCU